UGGCUAGGGGGUCAUGGCGACUUACCAAACCAAGGCAAACUCCGAAUACCGAUGAGUACAGCUUGGGAGACAGAGCACCGGGUGCUAACGUCCGGACUCAAGAGGGAAACAACCCAGACCGCCAGCUAAGGUCCCAAAGAUUGGCUAAGUGGAAAACGAAGUGGGAAGGCUAAAACAGUCAGGAUGUUGGCUUAGAAGCAGCCAUCCUUUAAAGAAAGCGUAAUAGCUCACUGAUCGAGUCGUCCUGCGCGGAAGAUGUAACGGGGCUAAGCCAGUCACCGAAGCUGCGGAUAUGUACUUGUACAUAUGGUAGGAGAGC
rnacentral:rRNA from 1 species